rnacentral:rRNA from 1 species
UUGAACGCUGGCGGCAGGCCUAACACAUGCCAGUCGAGCGGAUGAAGGGAGCUUGCUCCUGGAUUCAGCGGCGGACGGGUGAGUAAUGCCUAGGAAUCUGCCUGGUAGUGGGGGAUAACGUCCGGAAACGGGCGCUAAUACCGCAUACGUCCUGAGGGAGAAAGUGGGGGAUCUUCGGACCUCACGCUAUCAGAUGAGCCUAGGUCGGAUUAGCUAGUUGGUGGGGUAAAGGCCUACCAAGGCGACGAUCCGUAACUGGUCUGAGAGGAUGAUCAGUCACACUGGAACUGAGACACGGUCCAGACGCCUACGGGAGGCAGCAGUGGGGAAUAUUGGACAAUGGGCGAAAGCCUGAUCCAGCCAGGCCGCGUGUGUGAAGAAGGUCUUCGGAUUGUAAAGCACGUUAAGUUGGGAGGAAGGGCAGUAAGUUAAUACCUUGCUGUUUUGACGUUACCAACAGAAUAAGCACCGGCUAACUUCGUG